CAAUUGAAUGGUACAAUUAUGUAAAUGUCAUUGAUGAUAUGCUGGCCACUGCGUUCUUAACGAGUGCUCGAAAUUCAUUAAGUAUGGUAUGCUCAGCUCUACAUCGUGAAACUGAUAUUGCAGCAUCUCCUGUUCUUGUUAUGGAGUCUGAUAUUAAAGAACGGCGUAUUGAACUAUAUCCUAGCAUGGAUAAUGUAGCCGAUUUAAUAAAAGGCAUUAUUUAUAGAAUGCAAGGUAUACUUCAACAAUUUCCCCGUGUUGGGAAUAAAAUGAAAUUGCCUAAGGAACAACAAUCUAAUCCAUUUCCAAAAGUCUUUCGGGAAGAUGCAGAGUGUAUAGAUCUGAUUUUCAACGUAGAAGCUGAAGUUAGGCAUCAACGUGAGGAAGUCGACCGAUAUAUUUCUUUUUGGAAUUGUCACCGAGCAUUAUGGGAGACAACUGAGAGUACAUUUAUUAAGCGAGUAAAGGCUACCGAUCUCACAGCGGAUGUUUUUGAAUCGUUUAUUAAGUACUAUAGCACUUUAGCUGACGACAUAUCGUUUGUUGAUGCUAUAUCGCAUGUGUACUUCAUCCUAAUGAAUCAAAACUAUAUAAAAAAUUCUAUACUUGACUAUAUAGAGAAGUGGCAGACAUUGAACAUAAAAAUUCUGUUAAGUCAUUCGUUUUACUUGAUACGAGGUCAUGGGUGCAAUAUGGACGGAAAGUGAUGUGUUCAGAUUAUCAGUAUCAACAUGCGAGUCGAUCUAAAACAGCCAUGGUCGUCAAUUUUUGUUUCGUAGAUUCUCUUAUUGAAAUAUUUUAUUGGCGCAUUAGUAUAACGUACGACAGUUUCAAAUCAUAAAAAAUUUCUACUUGAAUGUCCUUGAA